rnacentral:rRNA from 1 species
UACGUAGGGUGCAAGCGUUAUCCGGAUUUAUUGGGCGUAAAGGGUGCGUAGGCGGUCUUUUAAGUCAGCGGUAAAAAUUCGGGGCUCAACCCCGUCCGGCCGUUGAAACUGGGGGUCUUGAGUGGGCGAGAAGAAGGCGGAAUGCGUGGUGUAGCGGUGAAAUGCAUAGAUAUCACGCAGAACCCCGAUUGCGAAGGCAGCCUUCCGGCGCCCUACUGACGCUGAGGCACGAAAGUGCGGGGAUCGAACAGG